rnacentral:rRNA from 1 species
AUUGAACGCUGGCGGCAUGCUUUACACAUGCAAGUCGAACGGUAACAGGCCGCAAGGUGCUGACGAGUGGCGAACGGGUGAGUAAUGCAUCGGAACGUGCCCAGUCGUGGGGGAUAACGCAGCGAAAGCUGCGCUAAUACCGCAUACGAUCUAUGGAUGAAAGCGGGGGACCGUAAGGCCUCGCGCGAUUGGAGCGGCCGAUGUCAGAUUAGGUAGUUGGUGAGGUAAAGGCUCACCAAGCCGACGAUCUGUAGCUGGUCUGAGAGGACGACCAGCCACACUGGGACUGAGACACGGCCCAGACUCCUACGGGAGGCAGCAGUGGGGAAUUUUGGACAAUGGGGGCAACCCUGAUCCAGCAAUGCCGCGUGCAGGAAGAAGGCCUUCGGGUUGUAAACUGCUUUUGUACGGAACGAAACGGUCCUGGUUACUACCCGGGGCUAAUGACGGUACCGUAAGAAUAAGCACCGGCUAACUACGUGCCAGCCGCCGCUGUAACAC